rnacentral:lncRNA from 1 species
UAAAAAGGUGGUAUAAAAGUCAAAAUUCCUACACCCCUCCUUCUGUCUCUUUUUAGACAAAUUAUUUGAUACUUCCAUGAUAAGUUAAAUUUUAGUUGUCUAAUAGAUUUUCAAAUCCUCCUUUUCAUCUACCCUUGUUGAAGUUUCUUCUUCUUUCUUCUUUCUUGUGGGAUCGUUAUCUGCCCUAAAUCUUAGCCAUUGGUGGCUUGUAUCUGGUUCAUGGAUAUUGAUCUCUUGUGGUUUCAAGGGGGGUGGUUUAUAUUUCAAAAUUGCAUGGCAAAAACUUCAUCAUUUUCUGCAGAAAUCUCCACAAAAAAUACUAACCCUUUUCUUCUGUUUCUUGUGCUUGUUUUUAUUUUUCUUGUUCUUGUCAAUUCCUCCGAUCCCUCAAAACCCUCCAUGGAUUCAUCACUUCCCUCUGAAAGGCUCCUCUUGAACUCCGAUUCCACGACAAAAUCUUCAAAUUUUCACCCAAGAAAGAGAGAAAAGUACUCACAUGGAUCUUCUUCUUCCAAGAGAGAAUUUGGGGCUGGUGAUCAUGAAGUUCCAAGUGGACCAAACCCUAUUUCCAACAAGUAAGUCUGCUUUUUCCAAAGCAUGAAUUUUCACUGUUCGAGUCGUCAUCGAGGAAGAAGGAGAAAGAUUUGCUAAAGCUGCAGUAAUGGCGUUUAUAAUUCUUGUUUGUUGUUCUCUUUAUCUCUCUAGAUCUCUCUCUAUAGUCAUUAAUUAUGAUCUGAGUUGCCAUUAAUACACUACUUGUCCUCAGUGAGAAGUUUGUUAGUUUCUGUUGUCAUCGUCAUCAGUGUAUAUAUAUCCAGAGACAAGUCUUUAUUUAUACAUAUAUAUAUUUUUAUGUAUUAAAAUCUACUAAAUGUAAACAGUUGUUUAUAGAGAGAGGGGGGGGGGGGAUUAAUUAUUUGUCAGUUAAUUAUGUGAUUGAUUUUGUUCAUAUUCUUCAUAAUAUGCUUAAACCUUUUGCUUUUCCGUGCAAAUUUUCAAGAAAAUAGAAAUAGUUUUGCAUUUCUGCACUAGGGUUUCAGUCUCCACGGAUGGGUUAGCAAAGAAUCUGAGGCCACCCCCACCCCACUUCACCCGAACCCGCUGGGGUGGGUUGGCUUGAAAGGGUGUCAGACGUGGUGGGAGGACCUUUUGUUUUUGGCUGAACAAUAAUUUGAAUGGCUUUGGACUUUACUUUUGUCAUCUCAAGCACAGAAUCCGAGAAAGCUGAAAAAAGGCCAUGAUUUAAU